rnacentral:lncRNA from 1 species
GACUUAAACACAUUGUUAGAUAGACAUAAACUAACCAAACUAACUCAAGAAGAAAUAAAUAAUCUGAAUACACUUGUAGUAGGCGAAUUAUUGGAUAAGUAAUCAAUACAAAAUAACACAAAAAGCUACUCACAAAAGAAAGCCCACACUCAGAUGGCUGCACUGCUUAACUAUGUUAAACAUUAAAAAAAAUAGUAAUACCAGUUCUUCAAAGACAUUUCAAAAAAUAAACAAAAAACAAAAAGAAAAGGAGAUAAUAUUUUCCGGUUCAUUUUAUGAGAACAAUAUUACUAUGAUACCCAAACCAGACAAAGAUAUCACAAGAAAAAAGACUAUAGAUAUCUCUCACAAGUACAGAUCCAAAAAUCCUGGACAAGAUACUACCAAACUCAACCCUACAACCUAUAUAAAGAAUUAUAUACCAUGACCAAGUGGAAUUUAUCCCAGGAAUGCUAAGUUGGCUCAAUAUUUGAAUUGAACUUUUUUUUUUAAGUGGAGGUCUUGCUAUAUUUCUCAGGCUGGUCUUGAACUCCCAGGUUCAAGAGAUCCUCCUGCCUCAGAUUCUCAAUUAUUUGGGAUUGCAGGUAUGUGCCAUUGCACCUGGCUAACAUCUGAAUUUCAAUUAAUACAAUGUCCUAUUUCAAUAGAAUAUUUUUUGUUGUUAUUUCGGCUUUUAUUUUAGAUUAAGGGCAUACAUAAGCAAGUUUGUUACAAGCUGAUUCUAAAGCUCAUAUGGGAUUUCAGGAAAAUUAGCCAAAACAAUCUUUACAAAGGAAAACCAAAUAGA